rnacentral:rRNA from 1 species
AGAGUUUGAUCCUGGCUCAGGAUGAACGCUGGCGGCGUGCUUUAUGCAUGCAAGUCGAACGAGAAGGGGCGGACUUCGGUCCGGCCUGGAGAGUGGCGAACGGGUGAGUAACACGUGAGUGACCUGCCCCGAGGUGGGGGACAACCGUGGGAAACCACGGCUAAUACCCCGUAGUCCUGUGCGUAUUGGUCGCGUACAGGUAUAGCUCCGGCGCCUCGGGAGGGGCUCGCGGUCGAUUAGCUAGUUGGUGGGGUAACGGCCUACCAAGGCGACGAUCGAUAGCUGGUCUGAGAGGACGAUCAGCCACACUGGGACUGAGAUACGGCCCAGACUCCUACGGGGGGCAGCAGCAAGGAAUAUUGGACAAUGGGCGCAAGCCUGAUCCAGCAACGCCGCGUGGAGGAAGAAGGCUUCGGUUGUAAACUCCUUUUGUGAGGGAUGAGACAAGGACAGUACCUCACGAAUAAGUCACGGCUAACUAGGUGCCAGCAGCCGCGGUAACACCUAGGUGACAAGCGUUAUCCGGAUUUACUGGGCGUAAAGGGCUCGAAGGCGGCAGUUCAAGUCCGGCGUGAAAUCUCCUGGCUUAACCAGGAGGGGUCGUCGGAUACUGUUCUGCUAGAGGCAGUGAGAGGGGUGCGGAAUUCUCGGUGGAGUGGUGGAAUACGUAGAUAUCGAGAGGAACACCAGUGGCGAAAGCGGCGCCCUGGCACUGACCUGACGUUCAUGAGCGAAAGCGUGGGGAGCGAACGGGAUUAGAUACCCCGGUAGUCCACGCUGUAAACGAUGAGUACUAGGUGUAGGCGACAACCGUGGUCUGUGCCGAAGCUAACGCGAUAAGUACUCCGCCUGGGGACUACGGCCGCAAGGCUAAAACUCAAAGGAAUUGACGGGGACCCGCACAAGCAGCGGAGCGUGUUGUUUAAUUCGAUGUAACGCGAAGAACCUUACCUGGGUUUGACAUGUGCGUAGUAGUGAAGCGAAAGCCGAACGACCCUUCGGGGAGCGUACACAGGUGUUGCAUGGCUGUCGUCAGCUCGUG